GACCAUCUCAGGGGAUGGGACCAUCUCAGAGGCCUGGACCAUCUCUGGGGCGUGGACCAUCUCAGAGUCCAGGACCAUCUCAGGGGCCUGGAUCAUCUCAGGGACCAGGACCAUCUCAGGGGCCUGGACCAUCUCAGGGCCUGGAUGAUCUCAGGGACAUGGACCAUCUCAGGGCAUGUAACAUCUCAGGGGCCUGGACCAUCUCAGAGGCUGGGACCGUCUCAGGGCCUGGACCAUCUCGGUGACCUGGACCAUCUCAGGGACCUGGAUCAUCUCAGAGGCUGGGACCAUCUCAGGGGCCUGGACCAUCUUAGUGACCUGGACCAUCCAGGGACCUGGACCAUCUCAGGGGCCUGAACCAUCUCAGGGACUGGACUAUCUCAGGGACCUGGACCAUCUCAGUGACCUGGACCAUCUCAGGGGCAUGGACCAUCUCAGGGCAAGGGCCAUCUCAGGGGCCUGGACCAUCUCAGAGGUCGGGACCAUCUCAGAGGCUGGGACCAUCUCAGGGGCCUGGACCAUCUUGGUGACCUGGACCAUCUCAGAGGCUGUGACCAUGUCAGGGGCCUGGACCAUCUCAGGAACUGGACCAUCUCAGGGACCUGGACCAUCUCAGGGCAAGGACCAUCUCAUGGGCCAGGACCAUCUCAGGGGCCUGGACCAUCUCAGGGGCCUGGACAUCUCAGGGGCCUGGACCAUCUCAGAGGCCAGGGCCAUCUCAGGAGCCUGGACCAUCUCAGCACCUGGACCAUCUCAGGACCUGGAUCAUCUCAGGACCUGGACCAUCUCAGGGGUCUGGACCAUCUCGGUGACCUGGACCAUCUCAGGGGCCUGGUCCAUCUCAGAGGCUGGGAACAUGUCAGAGGCCGGGACCAUCUCAGGGGCCGGGAUCAUCUCAGAGGCUGGGACCAUCUCAGGGGCCUGGACCAUCUUAGUGACCUGGACCAUCCAGGGACCUGGACCAUCUCAGGGGCCUGAACCAUCUCAGGGACUGGACUAUCUCAGGGACCUGGACCAUCUCAGUGACCUGGACCAUCUCAGGGGCAUGGACCAUCUCAGGGCAAGGGCCAUCUCAGGGGCCUGGACCAUCUCAGAGGUCGGGACCAUCUCAGAGGCUGGGACCAUCUCAGGGGCCUGGACCAUCUUGGUGACCUGGACCAUCUCAGGGGCCUGGUCCAUCUCAGAGGCUGGGAACAUGUCAGAGGCCGGGACCAUCUCAGGGGCCGGGAUCAUCUCAGGGGCUGGGACCAUCUCAAGAGCCUGGACCAUGUCAGAACCUGGAGC
rnacentral:lncRNA from 1 species